UGUGAGUAGUUUUAUGUUUGUUUUUUUUUUUUAACCAAAAUAGUUAUACUGAUGCAACCUCUAGUGUGGAUGCAGUUAUACCGGUAUACUUUGUUCCUUUUUCCAUAUGAGAAUGGCUGUACUGGAAUAAAGGACCUUUAUACUGAUAUAAUUUCAUCCACACUAGGGGCAUUGUACCAUUUUGACUAUACCAUAGUAACUAUACAACUUUUUAAAAUCUAGACACACCUUUAAUCUGUAAAGUAAGCAGAUAUAACCCUGACUAUACACAGGCACAGAUCUGGUAAAUGCCAUUUUUACAUACUCCUCUUUCUGACCAUAACUGCACUGUAAUAUAAGUUAAAAUUUCACACAGGUUUUUUUGCAUUUAAUUUCCUCGUUUUUUUUAAAAAAGAAAAACAAACUCCAGAUGUAGCACUAUGGAGAAGUGUAAUUUUAUUCUGUGGAACUCCAUAGGCUUCAAACAGCACCAAUUUAUAAGUAAGCAAAAAACAACCAACCAAACAAAAAACCCGAUGUGUUGCUUAAAUAUUUUUGAAAUGUCGGAAUGCCACAGCCAAUAAAGAAACCACAAAAUCUAGUGCAACAGGCAAUAAAGAAAUCUCCAAAAUCUUAUAGAAAUGUUGUACUUUUUGGGCUCAUCAGCAAAUUUGAAAUCACCUAUAAUUUCUAUAUUGUUUUACAAAUGUAUCCAGACGUGUGACCUUAAACAUUUCCCCCCCUUUUUUUUCCCAGUGGGAAAAAUGUUUUUUUUUCUUUCUGUUGCUUAACUCAAAACAGGAUGAACAGAUUUUCAACAGUCACUCAAAAAAAAAAAUUUAAAAAAUCACCUAUGAGUUGAGACCAAGCGUGGAAUGUUUAAGCUGAAAAAGAGACAUUUUAAGAAAGCUAUAAGAGUGAAUGGAAACAAGAAGGUUAGAAUGGAAGUUGAGUUGCAGCCCUGUGGAGCUAUCAUGCAACAUUUUGCAAAGGGUGAAUGGAUUUACUAACUCAAUGCCAUGUUGUUUUUUAACACAUUCAGCUGUAUUAACUUAUUUUCUGUUGUCAGGAUGUUUGUGUUGAUUUUAUUUGUUUACUCUGGGUUUG